rnacentral:rRNA from 1 species
AGUGAACGCUGGCGGUAUGCCUAACACAUGCAAGUCGAACGGCAGCACAGUAAGAGCUUGCUCCUACGGGUGGCGAGUGGCGGACGGGUGAGGAAUACAUCGGAACCUACUUUUUCGUGGGGGAUAACGUAGGGAAACUUACGCUAAUACCGCAUACGACCUACGGGUGAAAGCAGUGGAUCUUCGGACCUUUCGCGAUUGAAUGAGCCGAUGUCGGAUUAGCUAGUUGGCAGGGUAAAGGCCCACCAAGGCGACGAUCCGUAGCUGGUCUGAGAGGAUGAUCAGCCACACUGGAACUGAGACACGGUCCAGACUCCUACGGGAGGAAGCAGUGGGGAAUAUUGGACAAUGGGCGCAAGCCUGAUCCAGCCAUACCGCGUGGGUGAAGAAGGCCUUCGGGUUGUAAAGCCCUUUUGUUGGGAAAGAAAAGCAGCAGGUUAAUACCCCGCUGUUCUGACGGUACCCAAAGAAUAAGCACCGGCUAACUUCGUG